UCUGAGAAUGAGCAUUUGGAAUUACUGGGACCAAUCAUGAACACGCUUCUCCUUGGAAUCAAACUGAGCCAUGUCCUCAUCAUCCUUCCCAGCCUGCAGUGGCAACUCUGUCUGUCUGUAUUGCGUCUGUCAACAUCAUACAACGCUUUUUUAGAAGAAAGCAUGACAUCACUGAAGUUCCUCCUGGUCCUUGCUCUCAGAGCUUCACUUACAACUCGGCAUGAUGGCAGUCUAAGGAACAUGAUGACAUCAGUGAGUGAUGACAGAUGGCAUCUGGGCUCUGCUUGAGACACCUGUCCAGAAGAGAGCCUAUAGCAACAUACCUAUUCCUUAAUAGCCACUGCCUUGGACUGUGGGGAUCUCUGAAGAUUCUAUUUCUUCUUCACCUUACUACAAUUAAUUUUUCUACAAUAAACAUAGAUUAAUUUGUUAGCAGAGGUUACCUAA
rnacentral:lncRNA from 1 species